rnacentral:misc_RNA from 1 species
CCCACCGAUCUCCGCCUCCAGAUUCCAAGUGCCGUCGAAGAACGGCACGUUGGCGCGGCCGAAUGCUGUAGCCAGGCCGACCGUUUCGUCGUCGUCGAAAAGGCUGUCG